rnacentral:rRNA from 1 species
UCGAGGAUCUUCGGCAAUGGGCGCAAGCCUGACCGAGCGACGCCGCGUGUGCGAUGAAGGCCUUCGGGUUGUAAAGCACUGUCGAGGGGGAGGAAGGCCCGCAAGGGCUUGACCUAUCCCUGGAGGAAGCACGGGCUAAGUUCGUGCCAGCAGCCGCGGUAAGACGAACCGUGCGAACGUUGUUCGGAUUCACUGGGCUUAAAGGGCGCGUAGGCGGUCGACCAAGUCUGGGGUGAAAUCUUUCGGCUCAACCGGAAAAGUGCCCCCGAUACUGGCCGGCUAGAGGGAGAUAGGGGCAUGUGGAACUUCCGGUGGAGCGGUGAAAUGCGUAGAUAUCGGAAGGAACGCCGGUGGCGAAAGCGACGUGCUGGAUCUCUUCUGACGCUGAGGCGCGAAAGCCAGGGGAGCAAACGG